AGAACCUGUCUAGGUGGGACACUGUUGGACACUUACUUAGGACAAACGAAAACUUCUGUGUGCUACUUGAAAGAGAAAGUACGCCCAGCGUUCCUUUCCAGAACUGGCAGUUACCACCACUCGCACUUUGGCUUCCGACCAGCUUUGACUGCAGGCUGGAGAAACUAUGUGGAGAGAAAGACAGAAAGAGACACCUGAGUGGUCCCAGAGAUUCCAUCGCCUGGCGAUCCGGCUCUUCCCAGUCCUGCACCAGACACGUGAGGGAGGGAGUCUUCAAAAGGAGCCCAGCCCCAGCCGCCAUGUGAAUGCAGCCUCCUGAGAGAUCCCAAACCAGAGCAACCCAGCCACAGCACUCCUCAUCGGACUCGCAGAAACAAUGAAAGAUAAGAAAUGAGUAUUGUUAUUUGAAGCCACUAAGUUUUGGGGUGAUUUGUCAUGCAGCAAUAGUUACAGAUUUUAUAGCUAACUAAUAUAGGCACUCUCCUACCUAGCUGGUGGUAGAUUAAAUUGGUGCAUCCUCCUUGGAGUGCGCAGUUUACUAAUGCCUAACUGAAAUAAUACCUACACAGGCCCUUUGCCCAGAUAUUCCACUUUUAGAAGUUUCCCAACAAAUAUACCCAUACCUAUGCAAAGUGAUAUAUGUAUAUAUAUUUAUCACGGUAUUGUUUAAAUAGAAACAAUCAGAAAUAACCUAAAAGGCAAUUCAUAUUAUAAAUUAUAUAUUAUAAAUUAUAACAUUCAAUGGAAUAUUGUUCAGUCCAACAAAGAAUGAGGGUAUUCUUCACACGAUGCCAUGAAAAAAAUCUCCAACAUAAUUUCCAAGCAAAACAAUAAUAGAAAAGGAUGUGCAAGGCAGCGUGGACAGUGCAGUGGCAGCUAUGUAGGAGGAGGAGAAGCCUGUCCUUGUUCCUAACUGCGUGAAUAUGCAUAGAUUAUCUUUGCAAUGUACGCGAGGAACCUUCACGUCCAUUGCCUGGAGAAGAGAACUAAUGGCUGACAGACAAGAGGGCGAUGGUGGGGCUUUACACUAUACCCUUCAAGACUUCUUAAUUUUAUACCAAGUGAAUAUAUUACCUAAUCAGGAAUAAAAAAAUAAAAAUUAGCUUAAAAAAAAAGAAAUUUCUAUCAGCUGUUUUUGCUUUAACUUAACACUGUCUGGACUUUUAGAUCUUAGAGCUGGGUCUUCAAACCAAGGCAAUUCUGAGGGUCAAGCAGAGUUUCUUCCAGGGUGUACAUCCUGGAGGGUAAGGGAACCAGUUUCUAGACAGAGAAUGAAUACCAGUGCUCUUGCUUACAGUUCAGCUGUCUGGGAAAGUACCUUGCUGGGCUGGUUCUCCCUGCUUCUCUCCCAGGUUUCUUUCUCUCACUUGACAAAAGACAGGCAGACCUCUCGCCUGUCCUGCUUUUCACUCUGGGUGUUGCCUCAGAAUGGAAAGACCCCUUGGAGGCCAAACAAAGGAACAAUUCAAGAUAUUGGCAUUGGUUUUGAGAAAGUGAACAACUUUAAAGAUUGAGAAAUAAAUCCUUUUGCAGAUUUAAUUCUUGCAAAAGGUAGUUUCCAAGAUUUUGCUUUCAAAAUAAUUGAAAGAGGACCUAUUGAGUUGUCAGCUGAUAGAACAUUAAAAAUUACGUUUGAUAAUGGAUCACAGGGCCGUUUUUUACAUAUAACUCAGAACUUCAAAGAAAUGAGUGAUGUUGCUAUAAGAAAACUCCUUCCAUGGCCAUCUGCUUAUUUAUAUAAAGAACGUUCCUCAGCACUAUUUUUAAAAACAAAAAAGAAUAAAAUUGAUGCGAUAGAUUAUACUCAGCCCUAAAAACUGAACUUGCUUAAAAACUAAAGCAGCUCUUUUCAUCUUACUAAGAGAUACAUUUCCAAUAAAAUUUCACUUUUAUGUUUAAUGAUUAUAGGUGGUCAAACCAUUAGAGUGAUAACACCGUCAAAAGUUGUUUGGUUUUUUUACCCUUAGAGAAUAACAGUCACAGGAAAUCUUCUAAAAUUUAAAUUUGUUCCCAUACUUUUAUUGCCUUGAAGUAUGAUAGAAUGAUUUUUAAAAAAAGACUUUCAAGCAUACAGAUAGAUUACAUCAAGAGUAAAAUUCUUUGGGGGAAGCAGAAUGAAAUGAGCUGAAAUUGAAAAGGGAACAAUGUAAAAUUUCCUUAUGUUAAACACUAUUUUUUUGAUAUAUUUUUUAAACGACGAUGGCAGGUAUAAAAUGGCUGUGAUAUUUGGAUACAUUUUAAAGAAUAAUAUAACAAGGCUUCAAAAGUGUCCAUAUUUAUUAUGAUGGAAAUUGCAUCUUUUGUUGAAGAAACAUUUUAAAUAACGUAAAACUGCAUAAGGGAGAAAGUUCUUCGAAUUCUUUAAGCAAAACACGGACAAAUAAUUCGAACUAUUGCCUUAGGGACCAUCUGAUCCAGCUCUCUUUACUUUGCAGAUGAAAAACUUGUCCAUCAAAGUGAAGUAACUUCCUCAAGGUCAAGUGACAAAUAAGACCAGAUCCUGGUCUCCUGCCUCCUGGUCCAGGCAGCCAGAUCUAAUCCAGGCAGCCUGCCUGGUAGGGGAUCUUUCCUGCAGUUAAUCACCAGCUGAAUGGAUCCUGGGGCUCCAGGCCAAAGUGAAAAUGCUGCUCAGCUUGCAAGCAUCAUUACAGAGCACUUUUAUUAGCUCUGACUCACCCUGCGCCCGUCUCCACAGCCUGCAAGAAGGCUGCCUGUUACCUUUGUUUCCUCCAGUUCCCAUGGAUACCACUUGAAGGGGCUUCGAAAGCUUCUAAUACCGGCUUCCUCUGUCUUUUGCAAGAGUUGUAGCCUGAACAUGCUGUCCAGCCUGGGACUACCUUUCUCAGCCUCCCUUGAGCCACGUGAGGUUAUGCGUCUACACCUUCACCAAUGGAACUUGAGCAAGAGAGUGCCACACUCAAGCUGGAGCCCACUGCCUCCAUGAUCUUUUCCUAUUCCCUUUUGGUCUUGUUGGUGAAAACAUGUAAUGGUCUUAAAAUCCAUGAGUUGCUAUCAGACUUGGUGCCUAAGCCACGCAUCAACCCAGAGCCCUUGUCUGGAUGGCUUCACGACAGAGAAAGAAACAGCUUGUUCCUCAGCUCACCACAUUUUAGAGAUCUUUAUUAGAAAGCUUACGUUGCCCUAGCAAACUUGGCCACAACGC